AGAGUUUGAUCAUGGCUCAGAGCGAACGCUGGCGGCAGGCUUAACACAUGCAAGUCGAGCGGGCGUAGCAAUACGUCAGCGGCAGACGGGUGAGUAACGCGUGGGACGUACCUUUUGGUUCGGAACAACACAGGGAAACUUGUGCUAAUACCGGAUAAGCCCUUACGGGGAAAGAUUUAUCGCCGAAAGAUCGGCCCGCGUCUGAUUAGCUAGUUGGUGAGGUAACGGCUCACCAAGGCGACGAUCAGUAGCUGGUCUGAGAGGAUGAUCAGCCACAUUGGGACUGAGACACGGCCCAAACUCCUACGGGAGGCAGCAGUGGGGAAUAUUGGACAAUGGGCGCAAGCCUGAUCCAGCCAUGCCGCGUGAGUGAUGAAGGCCCUAGGGUUGUAAAGCUCUUUUGUGCGGGAAGAUAAUGACGGUACCGCAAGAAUAAGCCCCCGGCUAACUUCGUGCCAGCAGCCGCGGUAAUACGAAGGGGGCUAGCGUUGCUCGGAAUCACUGGGCGUAAAGGGUGCGUAGGCGGGUCUUUAAGUCAGGGGUGAAAUCCUGGAGCUCAACUCCAGAACUGCCUUUGAUACUGAGGAUCUUGAGUUCGGGAGAGGUGAGUGGAACUGCGAGUGUAGAGGUGAAAUUCGUAGAUAUUCGCAAGAACACCAGUGGCGAAGGCGGCUCACUGGCCCGAUACUGACGCUGAGGCACGAAAGCGUGGGGAGCAAACAGGAUUAGAUACCCUAGUAGUCC
rnacentral:rRNA from 1 species